rnacentral:lncRNA from 1 species
GUUUUCAAGAAAUAAAAGUACAAAUGCAAUUUAUAUAAAUUAAAAAAUAGAAUUAAAGUGAAUUUAUCUAUCCACCGAAUCACAAGCCUUGGAGUCAUUAGCCAAAAGGAGUGCAUUUCAACAUCGUAUGAUGGGAUCGAAUCAUGUGUGAUUGAAAUGAACUAAGUGUCCACCAAUUGAAUGGUUCAGAUGCGCUCAGGACUGAGAUAAUUAAUUCAAAGAGCUGUAUGGUAGAGACCGUAGGGUACAGCGCUCGCUUUUAGACAGCAAGAAAACAAAAUGCGUGUUGAUUAGAUACUGUAUUAAGAAACCGACCAGAAAUAACGUGGGAAGUUGCCGGAUGACGUUGAUUUGCCUCAGGUUACGCAUAUGAUGCGAUGAGACCAUGCAGCCAUUUUG